CGGUAGGGACCGAGCGUUGUCCGGAAUCAUUGGGCGUAAAGAGCGCGUAGGCGGCCUUUUAAGUCCUGCGCGAAAUCCUGCGGCUCAACCGCAGACGGUCGUGGGAAACUGGAAGGCUAGAGUGCGGGAGAGGAGAGUGGAAUUCCCGGUGUAGCGGUGAAAUGCGCAGAUAUCGGGAAGAACACCCGUGGCGAAGGCGGCUCUCUGGAACGCAACUGACGCUGAGACGCGAAAGCGUGGGGAGCAAAACAGGAUUAGAUACCCUGGUAGUCCACGCCGUAAACGAUGGACGCUAGGUGUGGGCGGUGUCGACUCCGUCCGUGCCGAAGCUAACGCAUUAAGCGUCCCGCCUGGGGAGUACGGCCGCAAGGCUA
rnacentral:rRNA from 1 species